ensembl:lncRNA
UUUUUUUUUUUUUUUUUUUUUUGGUUAAUAGGAUUACAUAAUAAUAAAGAAAUAACAAAAGAAGAGGACAAUCAGGUAUUUAAAAAUCAGGAACAGGUUAGGCAUAGUGGCUCACACCUGUAAUCCUAGCAUUUUGGAAGGCCAAGGCAGACAGACCACUUAAACCCAGGAGUUAGAGACCAGUUGAAAGGCAGUCAUGCACAGAUUGUUGGCCCCUGCUUGGCCACAUGAGUGCUAUGGGCCUGGAGUAUUUCCUUACUGGUAGUUAAGAGCCUUCACAGCCUGUGCUGGGAAACAUGGCAAAACCCUGUCUCUACUGAAAAUACACACACGAAAAAAUUAUCCGGGAGUGGUGGUGCAUGCCUGUAGUCCCAGCUAUCUGGGAGGCUGAAAUGGAAGGAUCACAUGAGCCUGGGGAGGUCGAGGCUGCCAUGAGCUGUCAUUGCUCCACUGCACUUCAGCCUGGGCGACAGACAGAGUGAAACCCUGGCUCCAAAAGAAAAGAAAAAUCAGGAAUAAGUGAGGGAGGCAGGCACAAGAUACAAGAAAAAAUGAAUACAGAGUGAGAUUUGAGAAAAAUAGAGAAAUGGCAUUUUAGGAGAAGCAAAGAUAAAAUCAUAUACUGGGAAAAGUGAUGUAUGAUGUAGUCAAAUUGAAAAAAAUAUGAAAAAUAUGGGGAAAAUGAGGGUACAUUAUUUGUCAACCAUUUCUGCACAUUGGAAGACGCUUCAUUAAAUAACUUUUGCCACCCAUGCUUAAAAAAAUAUAAUUUCUAUGAACAGAUGUGUUAAAUGCCAUUGAUUGGAAUUUUUUCCCAAGGCAUUAUGGAAUAGGCAUAUAUUGUUAAAAGGAAAAGUUUAUUAUUAUAGAACCGUAUUAUAAUAAAACUUCAAAUAUUACAAUACAACUCUAUUAUAAUAAAACUCUGUCAUAUCAGAGAGCCUUGGAGUUUUUUUAAAGAGGAAGUUAUAUGCUCUUUGAGUAUAUAAACCUUUUAUAUUUAUAUGGCAUAAAUAGGUCUAAUCUGAAUAAGGAUUAAAUCUAGAGAAAAUAUUUUUAUUUUGAAAUAUGCACAGACUCAUAAAAAUUGCAAACCUAGCAUCGAAAGGUUCUGUGUAGAUUUCAUACAGCUUCUUCCAUGGCAACAUCUUACAUAACUAUAACACUUCAUCAAAACCAAGAAACUGGCAUGGACACAAUGAAAUUAACUAAACUAUAGAUAUUAAUCAAAUUUCACCAGUUUUUAUGCUGUUUUGAAUGUGUGUGUAUAAUUUUAUGACAUUUUAUUACAUGCAUAGAUUUAUAAGUACCACCACAAUCAAGAUACAGAACUUGAGAAUAUCUUGGAAUGGAAGGGUCAGACAACAGAGAGAUGCUAUAUAUAAGAAAGUUAUUCUUAGAAAGACAAAUAAAUGGAUAUGAAACCAGAAUGUUUAAAAUAAAAAAAUGGAAAAAUUAAAUAUAAAGAAAAAAUGUACUAAACUGAAAAUAUAAAUAUGAGGGUUGGAGAGCAACAAUGUAAAAAAAAUUCACAUUUUGAAGGUUACUAUUUGCAGAAAAAUGUUUUCCAAUAUUUAUAUUGGAAAAAUAUAAAUAUAUAUAAAUACAUAUACAUGUUCCACAAUAAGAAAAUGGUCUAACUCUCCCAAAAUUUAUAUGUGUCAGCAAAACAGUCUUUUUUCUUGGAAAAAAGAAUAUGAAGUGACAGAAACAUAGGAACAUCUGAUCUCAGCGUGCAAAUGCAAACGAACUUUUGAAAUAAAUUUCUAUGGAUGUAGAGACAUGCCACACAUAUAUUUUCUAGAAAUAUAGAAACAAUUUUAAAGCAUAGCUCAGCAUCUGUGAAAUUUUUCUCUAUAUUUAUAAAUGAAUUUUUUCAAAGCAAAAAUGUAUUUUAAAGUUAAAUGCCAUAGGAAAAAUUUAGAAUAAGUUUAUUCUAAGGUGUACUCCAUAUAUAGUUCUACUAGUUAUGAUUCAGCUCAAAUUUUGCUUUCUCCAAUGACUUCUCGCAACCUCUUCAGCCCUAUUUGUUCUCCUUUUUGAUCUACACCAUUUUUCACUCAAAUAUAUUUUUCUUACUCACUAUUGAGGAAUGCAAGUUCUAUGAGGCAGAGUUUUUUGUGCAUUUUGUUUUCUCAUGAAUACCGAGUUUGCCCAAUGCCUGGCAC